UACGAAGGGUGCAAGCGUUGCUCGGAAUUAUUGGGCGUAAAGGGUAGGUAGGUGGUCUCGUUUGUCCGGGGUGAAAGCCUUGAGCUUAACUCAAGAAGUGCCUCGGAAACGGCGAGACUGGAGUACUGGAGAGGGUCGUGGAAUUCCCGGUGUAGCGGUGAAAUGCGUAGAGAUCGGGAGGAACACCAGCGGCGAAGGCGGCGACCUGGACAGUUACUGACACUCAACUACGAAAGCGUGGGGAGCAAACAGG
rnacentral:rRNA from 1 species